GAUUCUCCAAUCCGAUCCACCGAUUGUCUUAUCCGACACGGGUAUGGGUGUGACCGAUUGGAGUCACUUAUCCGUUUUUUAAACCUUGGAAUUACUGAAUUUGAACAUUUUUGCCUCAUAAAUAAUAGGCAACAAUUAGUUUCUCUAGCAUCUACCCACCAAUCUCUCAUGCUCCUUACUAUGUUCACCUUGUACACCUUGUAGACAAAGACGACAUAUUUCUCUUUAGUUUAUGUUGGUUGUGCUUAUGGCUUCUUUCAGUAAUAUAUUGUAUGUGAACAAUUCUACAACAAAAAUAGCAGACAUAUGGCUUCUUUCCAUUGUCUUUAGCUUCUUGGUUGGGUUUCUUAGUCUCCUUCUUUGCUUCUUCUCUUAUAUAUUAAUCUUAAUUCCUUGAUGCAUUGGCUUCUUCUUGGGGCUUUCAGUCAAAUGCUCCCUACUAAUCAUUUGUGACCUCUGUCAUUCACAUCAUGCAGUCAAGGCUCUUCUUCGAUAUGCAAAUGGGUCACCAAGCUCUUCCAGGGUCAUCUUCUAUGCCUUACGACUACGGAUAUUUCUAUAAUCCUUCCAAGAAAGAAGAAAUUUUGUAAUAGUGUUUGUCACCUCAAAAGACUCAUCAACUUGUUUAGUACCCAAGACUGUCCCGUGGUUAUCAGUUCCACAACAAGUAACUUGUCACUGAUAAUAUUGAAGUUGAGUUAACAAUUUAAAAAAAAAUUCUUCUUACACUUUUCUUCCUCUGUUUCCCUGAUAAUAUUGAAGUUGAGUUAACAAUUUACAAAAAAAGUUCUCCCU
rnacentral:lncRNA from 1 species